rnacentral:misc_RNA from 1 species
AGAGAGAGAGAGAGAGAGAGCUACCUGUUAAAGAAAUUCCCUUGGUCGUCUUUAACAUACUAAUCUAGAUACUUACACAUGGCAUAAUUUGACAAUUUGGCGACGAAUGAUACUUCCUAGUGAAAAUAAAGUUCAUAAACAAAUUUCUCUCAUUCAACCCAACUUGUCCAAAUGAAAGUAUCUCUAAUAGAUUUCACUCGUGAAACUGUUAUUUAUAUUGCAAGUUCCCAAAUGCUGUAUGUUUGCGAUCCUAAACGUCAAAGCCUGUGGACCCGAUAA